AGUGUGGCUCAACGGCAGAGCAAUGGUUUUGUAAACCAUGGGUUGCAGGUUCGAUUCCUGUCACUG
rnacentral:tRNA from 1 species